rnacentral:rRNA from 1 species
UACAGAGGGUGCGAGCGUUAAUCGGAAUUACUGGGCGUAAAGCGUGCGUAGACGGUUAUUUAAGUCGGGUGUGAAAGCCCCGGGCUCAACCUGGGAAUUGCAUUCGAGACUGAAUAGCUAGGGUACGGUAGAGGGAAGUGGAAUUUCCGGUGUAGCGGUGAAAUGCGCAGAUAUCGGGAGGAACACCGGUGGCGAAGGCGGUUCUCUGGGCCUUACCUGACGCUGAGGAGCGAAAGCGUGGGGAGCGAACAGG